CAAGUCGAGCGGUAGAGAGAAGCUUGCUUCUCUUGAGAGCGGCGGACGGGUGAGUAAUGCCUAGGAAUCUGCCUGGUAGUGGGGGAUAACGUUCGGAAACGGACGCUAAUACCGCAUACGUCCUACGGGAGAAAGCAGGGGACCUUCGGGCCUUGCGCUAUCAGAUGAGCCUAGGUCGGAUUAGCUAGUUGGUGGGGUAAUGGCUCACCAAGGCGACGAUCCGUAACUGGUCUGAGAGGAUGAUCAGUCACACUGGAACUGAGACACGGUCCAGACUCCUACGGGAGGCAGCAGUGGGGAAUAUUGGACAAUGGGCGAAAGCCUGAUCCAGCCAUGCCGCGUGUGUGAAGAAGGUCUUCGGAUUGUAAAGCACUUUAAGUUGGGAGGAAGGGUUGUAGAUUAAUACUCUGCAAUUUUGACGUUACCGACAGAAUAAGCACCGGCUAACUCUGUGCCAGCAGCCGCGGUAAUACAGAGGGUGCAAGCGUUAAUCGGAAUUACUGGGCGUAAAGCGCGCGUAGGUGGUUAGUUAAGUUGGAUGUGAAAUCCCCGGGCUCAACCUGGGAACUGCAUUCAAAACUGACUGACUAGAGUAUGGUAGAGGGUGGUGGAAUUUCCUGUGUAGCGGUGAAAUGCGUAGAUAUAGGAAGGAACACCAGUGGCGAAGGCGACCACCUGGACUGAUACUGACACUGAGGUGCGAAAGCGUGGGGAGCAAACAGGAUUAGAUACCCUGGUAGUCCACGCCGUAAACGAUGUCAACUAGCCGUUGGGAGCCUUGAGCUCUUAGUGGCGCAGCUAACGCAUUAAGUUGACC
rnacentral:rRNA from 1 species